rnacentral:rRNA from 1 species
GACGAACGCUGGCGGCGUGCUUAACACAUGCAAGUCGAGCGAGCGGCGGACGGGUGAGUAAUGUAUGGGGACUGCCCGAUAGAGGGGGAUAACUACUGGAAACGGACGAUAAUACCGCAUACUAUCGGAUCACCCAGAUGGGAUUAGCUAGUCGGUGGGGUAAUGGCUCCCCUAGGCGACGAUCCCUAGCUGGUCUGAGAUGAUGAUCAGCCACACUGGGACUGAGACACGGCCCAGACUCCUACGGAGGCAGCAGUGGGGAAUAUUGCACAAUGGGCGCAAGCCUGAUGCAGCCAUGCCGCGUGUAUGAAGAAGGCCCUAGGGUUGUAAAGUACUUUCAGUCGUGAGGCGUUACCGACAGAAGAAGCACCGGCUAACUCCGUGCCAGCAGCCGCGGUAAUUC